GAUGAACGCUGGCGGCGUGCCUAAUACAUGCAAGUCGAGCGAACGGACGAGAAGCUUUCUUCUCUGAUGUUAGCGGCGGACGGGCGAGUAACACGUGCAUAACCUACCUAUAAGACUUGGAUAACUUCGGGGAACCGGAGCUAAUACCGGAUGAUAUUUUGAACGGCAUGGUUCAAAAGUGAAUGACGGUCUUGCUGUUACUUUUAGAUGGAUCCGCGCUGCAUUAGCUAGUUGGUAAGGUAACGGCUUACCAAGGCAACGAUGCAUAGCCGACCUGAGAGGGUGAUCGGCCACACUGGAACUGAGACACGGUCCAGACUCCUACGGGAGGCAGCAGUAGGGAAUCUUCCGCAAUGGGCGAAAGCCUGACGGAGCAACGCCGCGUGAGUGAUGAAGGUCUUCGGAUCGUAAAACUCUGUUAUUAGGGAAGAACAUAUGUGUAAGUAACUGUGCACAUCUUGACGGUACCUAAUCAGAAAGCCACGGCUAACUACGUG
rnacentral:rRNA from 1 species